GACGAACGCUGGCGGCGUGCUUAACACAUGCAAGUCGAACGAAGUGGCGAACGGGUGAGUAACGCGUAAUCAACCUGCCCUUCAGAGGGGGACAACAGUUGGAAACGACUGCUAAUACCGCAUACUGAAGGAGGGGAUUGCGUCUGAUUAGCUAGUUGGAGGGGUGACGGCCCACCAAGGCGAUGCUCAGUAACCGGUCUGAGAGGAGGAACGGCCACACUGGGACUGUGACACGGCCCAGUCUCCUACGGGAGGCAGCAGUGGGGAAUCUGCCGGAAUGGACGAAAGUCUGACGGAGCAACGCGGCAGGAGGGAGGAGGGCCGUCGGGUUGUAAAGCUCUGUUAAUCGGGACGCGGUACCGGAAUAGAAAGCCACGGCUAACUACGUGCCAGCCGCCGCGGUAAUUC
rnacentral:rRNA from 1 species